GUUUUUCUCGAUGCGUGGAUUACGGAUCUCGUACAUUACGUAACCUCGAUUUAUCUUUUCAUCGAAUGGAAAAACGCAACUGUGAAAAUACUGUGAAAUUAUGUAUCAAACCAUUAAGUUGCUCUUUCACCUAUUGGAAAAUGAUUCGCAAAAGUAUGUUUUGCUAUGGAUCUUCUGUAUUCUCCUCACAUACGCUGCGUUAUAUUUAGUGUGUAUCCUCAUAUGUAUAAUAUAUUAUCAUGCUUGCUUGUUAAUAUUCUGUGCAUACGCAUGACAUGGCUAUAUCAAAGAUUAUCGAAAAUGGUCUACAAACACAUUACAGCAAUAUCACACGGAGCGUUCAGACUGUCUCUCAAAAAUGUAUUUCUCCAUUCGCAAGAAUUAUAACGCGAAACUCGUGCAACAUACCAGCCGCUUCUUUCAACGAUUGUGCGAUGGACUCGAAAUGCAUCAGGGGCAUUUCAUAAAAGCAUGCUGGAUUAUAUCCGACGAAAAAAAAAACAAGCGUUUGGAAAAAUCCAUGCCUUUGGCUGCGCUAGCGCAUUGUGCAUUUAAUCUGAAGCGCGCGUAUCAUAGUUUUUGUCGGCCGGUGAAUUCCACCGAUGUAUCUCCGCGGCGCACGCCAGAUUAUUCGUCGAUUCCCUUUCAUUUUCCGUGUACAUCCACGUUGGGGAAUUAAUAUGCGAUCCCGUAUACUUCCCUAAUGACGCGAUACCCACGUCGUUCUCGAAAGGCGAACCGAACGCAGAGCCAACGCUUUAAUUUGGAAAUACAAAAAGAAAAUCUUGUAAAAUUUUUUUUCUGUUAGACAAUCAAAGUCAUCAGUUUUUAGAUAACAAUAUACAGAAGUAUAUUGUUAUCUUUUUUUAAAUAAUACAUGUAGGAUGUAGAUCUCGCUGAUCUUAUGUGCACAUCUCCGUAGUUAUAAAGUCAAAUAUAUGUAUAUUAAUUCCUUUCUUUACCAUCAACUAACUUUCGUAGUUAACUGUACAGUGGCUCAAAAUAUGUGAUUUACAGCAAGAUUUUUUUUUCUCCCGUUUGCUUGAUUCAGCGAUUUCGUUCGAUUGUGUAGUACACAGCGAAAAAGAUCGACCGCUUAAAUUCCCCCUCACGUCCGUUCGUUCGCUUCUACCGUGAGUUAAAGAAUAAGUUUGCGAGUUUGCCGGGGGAUGAAAAAAAAAGGGGAGGAUGAACCGCGGAGGUCGCCGCGGGAUUCUCGCCACGUUCGAUUCGAUUUUUUCCGAAAAGCCAAACACCGAGAGAGCGCGCGUGCGGAGAAGAGGAACUUUUAAAUAUCGACGUCGCGCUGAAUAAUUCAUCCCGUGUACACUCGCCGGAUAUUUCACCCCUCGCGAGAUUCCGGAUUACGGGAUAGAUUGCUCGGCUCGAUCUUGAGAUCCCUCCCUUGAUGCGCGGAGAUUAAUUUAAUAACGGGGAUCGGCGGAUGAAGUCGUAAAUGAAGUUGAGGAAAUUCAGUAGCUAAUAUCGAAACGCUUUCGUUUGUUGGCGCAAGGAUUACGGUACAAGAUUUCGUUCAUCUUGAAAGUAGUAUAUAAAUCCCCUCUCAUAACAACAUAAUUUCCCGGAACAAUUAUAAAGUUCAAGGAUUUUCUAUAUAAGGAAUUUACAUUUAUUCGCAAAUAAGUAAUUUGUUAUAAGAAUAACAUCAUCAUCAUUAAUCACUGUUAAUGGCAUCGAUAAGCUGGCUUUGAUGUUAUUAUAGUUAAUACUCGAAUGUUAUGUAAAAUAACUAUCGCGCUUUUCUCAACGUUGUCCUUAUCCCAAUAUAUGUAUAACGUUAUUUCUAGUCAAUAGAAGUCAUCUGCGUUAUAAAACUGGCAAAAGCAAUAUUAAAAUAUAUAUUUAUCUCUCCCUUUCUCUCAGACA